CGAACGGGUGAGUAACACGUGGGUGAUCUGCCUUGCACUCUGGGAUAAGCUUGGGAAACUGGGUCUAAUACCGGAUAUGACGAUGGUUUGGAUGCCAUUGUGGAAAGUUUUUCGGUGUGGGAUGAGCUCGCGGCCUAUCAGCUUGUUGGUGGGGUAAUGGCCUACCAAGGCGUCGACGUGUAGCCGGCCUGAGAUGGUGUACGGCCACAUUGGGACUGAGAUACGGCCCAG
rnacentral:rRNA from 1 species